rnacentral:tRNA from 1 species
GGAUAGCUCAGUUGGUAAGAGCACGAGCCUCUUAAUCUCAGGGUCCUGGGUUCGAGCCCCACAUUGGACA